UAGGGAAUCUUCCACAAUGGACGCAAGUCUGAUGGAGCAACGCCGCGUGAGUGAAGAAGGUUUUCGGAUCGUAAAACUCUGUUGUUGGUGAAGAAGGAUAGAGGCAGUAACUGGUCUUUAUUUGACGGUAAUCAACCAGAAGUCACGGCUAACUACGUGCCAG
rnacentral:rRNA from 1 species